AGAAACCUAGGACUCUUCCUAGAGUCCAUCCUGGCCAGUGUCAACACCCGAGGCCCAGUCUGGGUGAUAAGUCUUACGUGGGAGUUUUGUGCAAAACGUUCUGAGGGAUUCUGGAAGUCAGAACCAAACCCUGGGAGAAGAAUUGGGGAAGGUAAAAGGGAAGUUCUGCCAUCUUUCAUCUGAAGCUAAAGCAUGGUACCUCCCAUGCUCUAAUGGGGAAUCUGGACAGGAAGAAGGACCAGAUGGACAGAUAUAGCACAUGGACACAGAGGGUACACAGACAGGCUGUGGGCAAUGAUACAUCCAUCACGAAUCCUUUAGAGUCAUAAACAUAUUUCUAUACCAACCUGAAGGAGGCCUCUACUGUCCCAUCAGGGCUUCUUUCAUUCACCUGGAGAGAAGGUAGGAGAGGACUGAGUUGGCCAGCAGAGGGCCAGACUCCAGGUUGGAGCCAGCACAAGAACAGCCUCUUGAAGUGAAGGAAAAGGGAAACUUGACUCCAGUUGGUCCAUGCCACAGCUGUGAAUAUGCUGAACAAGGCUAAACCAGAGAAAGCUCACAAUAAACUUGGGACAAAGGAGCUGCCACAAGCCAAGCCUGAGAGAAGCUGCCUCACUUGGGCCCAGGCUAGGCAGGAGUUGAGUGAAACAAAUAGCUUCUGGAAGGUGAACGUAAGUCCAAGAGUUGAAGCUGCUUUCUACCUGCCACUGACUAUAAGCCAAGAAUGCUUCGCCCAAUCAAGCUUGUGCCUCUUCCGGUGCCUGCCUCUCCUAGCUGCCUUCUCACAAGCCCUGGUCACCUUCAUUGCUGAGCCAAACAGAUGUCUACCCCAACCCAGAGUUCCUGAACUCGAGCACCAAACCCCAUCAGAGCAGCUAAUAGAACCCAUCCCUGAUGGGAUGGGUAACCAGGUCUCAGCCAAAAUGACCAGCUUCCCCUGGACUGGACAGCGCUGCCUCUAG
rnacentral:lncRNA from 1 species